GGUUUUUAGAAAAUAAUUUAAAAUUUUACCUGCUCAAUGAUUUAUUAAAUAGCUGCAGUAUAGAUGACUGUACAAAGGUAGCAAAAUCAAUAGUUUUUUAAUUGAAAACUGGAAUGAAGGGUUUGAUGAGAUAUAAACUUUAUUAAUUUUAAAAUUAGAAUUUUUUUUUAAUUUAAAAAAAUUAAAUAUAUUUAAAAGACGAGAAGACCCUAUAGAUUUUUAUAAUAUUUAAAUUAUUUAAAUUAAUUUAAAAAAUAUAAUUUAUUAUUUAUUUGAUUGGGGAAAUUUUUAAAUUUAUAUAAAUUUAAAUAAAAAUUUUUAAUACAUUGAUUAAUGAUUAAAUGAUCUUGAAUUUUAGAUUAAUAGAAUAAAAUACCUUAGGGAUAACAGCAUAAUUAUUUUAGAUAGUUCUUAUAGAUAAAGUAGAUUGU
rnacentral:rRNA from 1 species